UUGCUUACAGAUCACUUUCAUUAAUUUUAAGAUUUGUAAAGCUUCGUUAAAACUCUUUUAUCUUCUUAGUUUAAAAGAAAACCUAAAUGUAAACUUUUGAAUUAUUAUAUAUACGAUCUAUAACAGUAUUAGAUUCUUGGAAAGUAUCCUGUUAAUUAAAUUUGUGCAUAUUUUUUUUUUCAAAGUGAAACAAACGUUGGAAUAAAACACCUGUGAGAAAUCCGGUGUGAAAUCCACAACCCAAUCCCGUAACGGACACCUGUAUUGGAUGAUGUCAUUAGCAACGAAGACCUACACACAUCAGCGUUUACUUAACUAGCUUCACAUCACUGAUAUAAUAACCAGGGGAAAUCCAGUUAAAGACAGAAUACAAAAGAGAUACGGGUAGCAAUGCUUAUCAACCUGGCAAUUUUACACGUAGUGGCCUUAAUUAUUAAAGGUGUAUACGCCGUCCCAAUUAGCAAUAUUAACAGUCAAAAAGAUGGGCAAUUACGAAUGUACGGACUAUUAGAUGAAUAUUUUAGGGACAAAGACACAAAUAAAGAUCACAGUCAGAACAAAUACCCAUCUCAUUUAAGUGAACUGGGAACUCAAAAGAGAGGAAAAUAUUCUUGGUCAGUGGCUUAUGGGAAACGUGACCGUUGGAUCGCCUAUGGGAAAAGGAAUUCUCGUCUUAGUGGAAUAGCAAUGCCUGCGUUUGAACCAUCAUUGGACGAAUCACAUGAUUUACCAGUUUAUGACAACAAUGCAGUUAAAAGACACCAAAUGUGGGAGGCUAGAUGGGGAAAGAAACGAACAACCGUAUCUGCAAAUCCAACAACAAAGGCCAUGGAAAACUUCGAACAACAACAGUCCUAUGAAGGAUAUUUCACUAAAAAUCCAACUUUCAAACGUCAACAGUGGACGAAAUCUCCGUGGGGAAAACGAUCAUAUUAAAGAAACAAAAUUCAAAUAAUGAUUUAUUGUAUCAAUAUGGAAAAUAAGUGACACAACUAAAACAAGAAACGCUUUUUCAGUGUAAAUAUCAUUUAACGAGAACAUCGAACGAUCCUUUAAUGAAAGGUUCAGUGUCCCACAGCAAAGUUUGAUCGUUUCUUAUUGUUUCUUUUGUUUCAUUUGUGAACCUUUGACAAAUCAUUUUUUCUGCUGCCUUUGGAAUUCCCAACAUCGGCUGAUACCCCAGCUUAUAAAUAUACAAGAAAUUUUUGUCAUAACAGUUCUUCAUGGUUAAUACAGAUACUUUUGUGUUGCAAUGAUCAAUCUGACUUGGAAUUUAUGGUUUAAACGCUAAACAUUGUAUCUAUAUAGAAAAGUAACCUCAUUUGACACCUAGCUAAAUUCGGGGUGAACCAGAUUCGGUGUAUUUAUUAGUUUUGGGAUUGACUAAGUAAAUAUACGUAUAGUCGUGACAAUUUUGAUAAUUUAUUUUCAAACAUUUACAUAGAUAAUUGAAUUAUCAUCUUGCUGCAUGUUGUUUAAUAUCAUGUUAACACAAUCCAAUUUUAAUUCCGUGACAUCAAGACUUAGUACGCAUAUUUCUAAUGAUUCUCUUCUGUAAUAAGCGUACUAAUGAUAAUACCUUGUCGUUUUACUAUUGUAUGAAUGAAAAAUAGAGAUGUGGGGUAAUACAUCACUGAGAAAACAACUCAACAACAGAGAUUCCCACAGACAUCUACAGAUCAACAUUCAUACCAUCUUUAACAAUAGACAAAUUAACAUACAAUAUAUACCAAGUUCUAAAUUGCACCAAUUAAAAAAUAUAUGAAUAAAUUAUACAGAUUUAUUCCAUGAAAGUAUAACUUUUAAGACUGUGUGAGUCUUUCUUUAAAUGUUAUUAUUAUUAUUGUUGUAGCUUUCUAUUAGAAUGUAUAUAACAUACAGAUGGGGGAACCGAGAGUCAAUACGUCUGUAAACCGAUUGUAAAAGCCUGCAUUGGCAUGAUUAUUUUCGAAAACAUUUGUAUGUUGUAUAUGUAUAUAAGUUUCUUUACUCUGUCUCGAAUGUCUAAAUGUCGAUUUCCGUUUUAGUUAAUAAAAAUAAAAUUUGAAGAUACCCAGGAGACAUUCUAAACUCAUAAGUCGAAGAAUAACUGACACCGCCCUGCAAAGAAACGACAGAAAAAAAAACAAGUCCACAAAACACUUACAUAGGAAAUAAGAGACUGGCAACACGAACCCCACCUAAACUGGGGGUGAACUCAGGUAUUCCUGUGGCACCCGUCGUGUUGCUGAUAAUUUUGAAUAUCCCAUGACUUCUGAUUUUCCAUGUGAGGCAAGGUUUCCGAUUUAUUUUAUAGGACAACGUGAUAUGUUUACCCUAUUCAAUUUAAAAGUCACGAAUACGGUUGAAAAAACUUAGGAGGCAUUUAAGUAAAAUAUAAGAAAACAUUUAGGUCUUGGUCAAAAUGAAAGGGUUCCUUUGUGAAUAUUUGAAACAGCCUUUCUGCAAAUGUUUAAAACAAAAUAUGAGAUAAAAGAGUAUUAUUUCAAAAUUGCAAUUGUUUUUUUUUUUCGCUAGAGGUUGAUAAAAUAUAUUACGUGGCAGAAAGUAAAUGCUGAAAUUGUAUGUAACUGUACUAUGUAUUUGAAAGAAAUGAUAUGAAAAGGCUUCAAUAACGAGUACUACUACCCUAUGAUAAUAAAAUUUGAAGAUUG